AUUGAACGCUGGCGGCAUGCCUUACACAUGCAAGUCGAACGGUAACAGGUCUUCGGAUGCUGACGAGUGGCGAACGGGUGAGUAAUACAUCGGAACGUGCCUAGUAGUGGGGGAUAACUACUCGAAAGAGUGGCUAAUACCGCAUGAGAUCUACGGAUGAAAGCAGGGGAUCGCAAGACCUUGUGCUACUAGAGCGGCCGAUGGCAGAUUAGGUAGUUGGUGGGAUAAAAGCUUACCAAGCCGACGAUCUGUAGCUGGUCUGAGAGGACGAUCAGCCACACUGGGACUGAGACACGGCCCAGACUCAUACGGGAGGCAGCAGUGGGGAAUUUUGGACAAUGGGCGCAAGCCUGAUCCAGCAAUGCCGCGUGCAGGAUGAAGGCCUUCGGGUUGUAAACUGCUUUUGUACGGAACGAAAAGCCCUGGGUUAAUACCCUGGGGUCAUGACGGUACCGUAAGAAUAAGCACCGGCUAACUACGUGCCAGCCGCCGCGGUAAAAC
rnacentral:rRNA from 1 species